rnacentral:rRNA from 1 species
GAUGAACGCUGGCGGCGUGCCUAAUACAUGCAAGUCGAGCGAACAGAUGAGGAGCUUGCUCCUCUGACGUUAGCGGCGGACGGGUGAGUAACACGUGGAUAACCUACCUAUAAGACUGGGAUAACUUCGGGAAACCGGAGCUAAUACCGGAUAAUAUAUUGAACCGCAUGGUUCAAUAGUGAAAGACGGUUUUGCUGUCACUUAUAGAUGGAUCCGCGCCGCAUUAGCUAGUUGGUAAGGUAACGGCUUACCAAGGCAACGAUGCGUAGCCGACCUGAGAGGGUGAUCGGCCACACUGGAACUGAGACACGGUCCAGACUCCUACGGGAGGCAGCAAUAGGGAACCUUCCGCAAUGGGCGAAAGCCUGACGGAGCAACGCCGCGUGAGUGAUGAAGGUCUUCGGAUCGUAAAACUCUGUUAUUAGGGAAGAACAAAUGUGUAAGUAACUAUGCACGUCUUGACGGUACCUAAUCAGAAAGCCACGGCUAACUACGUG